rnacentral:rRNA from 1 species
AAACAACGGAGAGUUUGAUCCUGGCUCAGGAUGAACGCUAGCGACAGGCCUAACACAUGCAAGUCGAGGGGCAACGGGGGAGAGAGCUUGCUCUCUCCUGCCGGCGACCGGCGCACGGGUGAGUAACGCGUAUGCGACCUGCCCUGCACAGUGGGAUAACCCGGAGAAAUCCGGACUAAUACCGCAUGCCCCCGCGGGGCUGCAUGGCUCCGCGGGGAAAGGAGGCGACUCCGGUGCAGGAUGGGCAUGCGUGACAUUAGCUAGUCGGCGGGGUAACGGCCCACCGAGGCGACGAUGUCUAGGGGUUCUGAGAGGAAGGUCCCCCACACUGGUACUGAGACACGGACCAGACUCCUACGGGAGGCAGCAGUGAGGAAUAUUGGUCAAUGGGCGGGAGCCUGAACCAGCCAAGUCGCGUGAGGGAAGACGGUCCUAUGGAUUGUAAACCUCUUUUGUCAGGGAGCAAGUGCCCCACGUGUGGGGAGCUGAGAGUACCUGAAGAAAAAGCAUCGGCUAACUCCGUGCCAGCAGCCGCGGUAAUACGGAGGAUGCGAGCGUUAUCCGGAUUUAUUGGGUUUAAAGGGUGCGUAGGCGGAACUCCAAGUCAGCGGUAAAAAUUCGGGGCUCAACCCCGUCGUGCCGUUGAAACUGGAGUCCUUGAGUGGGCGAGAAGUAUGCGGAAUGCGUGGUGUAGCGGUGAAAUGCAUAGAUAUCACGCAGAACCCCGAUUGCGAAGGCAGCAUACCGGCGCCCUACUGACGCUGAAGCACGAAAGCGUGGGUAUCGAACAGGAUUAGAUACCCUGGUAGUCCACGC